rnacentral:rRNA from 1 species
GGGUUAGUAGGCUAGUCGUGCCACCGGUACGUACUGGUCUUACUGAUUCCUCCUUCCUGAUGAAUUGUAAUGCCAUUAAUUUGGUGUUGCAGGGAAUCUGGACGGUUACUUUGAAAAAAUUGGAGCGUUUAAAGCAGGCUAACGCUUGAAUACAUUAGCAUGGAAUAAUGAAAUAGGACGUUCGAUCCUAUUUUGUUGGUUUCUAGGAUUGACGUA